GGGUUGUUAGCUCAGUUGGUAGAGCAGCUGACUCUUAAUCAGCGGGUCGAGGGUUCGAACCCCCCACAGCCCA
rnacentral:tRNA from 2 species